rnacentral:rRNA from 1 species
AUCGAACCCGGAGAUAGCUGGUUCUCCUCGAAAUAGCUUUAGGGCUAGCCUCAUGGAUCAUUGAUGGGGGUAGAGCACUGAAUGUGCGCGGGGGCCACAAAGCCUACCAAACGCUAUCAAACUUCGAAUACCAUACAAUGCAGACCAUGGGAGUCAGUCCGCGAGAGAUAAGUUCCGCGGGCAAAAGGGGAACACCCCAGAUCAACCGCUAAGGUCCCCAAGUUCACGUUAAGUGGAGAAGGAUGUGGAAUUGCACAGACAACCAGGAUGUUGGCUCAGAAGCAGCCACACAUUUAAAGAGUGCGUAAUAGCUCACUGGUCGAGUGAUUGUGCGCCGAAGAUGUCCGGGGCUAAACGUGACACCGAAGCGAUGGGUGCAUCUGAAAGGAUGCGCGGUAGAGGAGCAAUGUGCAGAGGCAGAAGCCGUAUCGAGAGGCACGGUGGACACUGCACAAGAGAGAAUGCCGGUAUGAGUAGCGAGAGGCAUGCGAGAAACAUGCCCGUCGAAAGCCCAAGGUUUCCUGGGGAAGGUUCAUCCGCCCAGGGUAAGUCGGGGCCUAAGCCGAGGACGGAAGUCGUAGGCGAUGGACAGCAGGUGUAGAUUCCUGCACUACCGAUGGAAUGAAGCAGUGACACAGAAGGAUAACUCGAGCAGGGUGAUGGUCAACCCUGUGCAAGCAUCAAGGUUGGGUUGUAGUGAAGUACGCAAUCCUAUAAGCUGAGAUGUGAUGCGGACCGAAAUUUCAGUAGGGAAGCGAGUGAGUUCACGCUGGCGAGAAAAGCUGCUAGUACAUCCAAAGGUACCCGUACCGGAAACCGACGCAGGUGGGCGAGGAGAGAAUCCUGAGACGAACGGGAGAACCCUUGUUAAGGAACUCGGCAAAAUGACCCCGUAACUUCGGGAUAAGGGGUGCCUGCGAGAGCAGGCCGCAGAGAAUAGUCACAAGCGACUGUUUAGCAAAAACACAGGUAUCUGCGAAAGCGAGAGCUGACGUAUAGGUGCUGACACCUGCCCGGUGCUGGAAGGUUAAGGGAACAUGUUAGAGCAAUCGAAGCAUCGAACCGAAGCCCCAGUAAACGGCGGCCGUAACUAUAACGGUCCUAAGGUAGCGAAAUUCCUUGUCGGGUAAGUUCCGACCCGCACGAAUGGUGUAACGACUUGUGAGCUGUCUCAACAGGGGGCCCGGUGAAAUUGAAGUAUGGGUGAAGAUGCCCAUUACCCGCGACUGGACGGAAAGACCCCGUAGAGCUUUACUGCAGCCUGAUAUUGAGUUUCGGUAACUGAUGCACAGGAUAGGUGGGAGUCUGAGAGACAUGGGUUUCGGCUCGUGUGGAGACGAUGUUGGGAUACCACUCUUCGGUUACUGAAAUUCUAACAUAGCUCUGUGAAACCAGAGGAUGGACAGUGUCAGGUGGACAGUUUGACUGGGGCGGUCGCCUCCGAAAGAGUAACGGAGGCGCCCAAAGGUACCCUCAGAAUGGAUGGAAACCAUUCGAAGAGCGCAAAGGCAGAAGGGUGCCUGACUGCGAGAUUGACAAAUCGAGCAGAGACGAAAGUCGGGCUUAGUGAUCCGGCGGUAUUGAGUGGAAAAGCCGUCGCUUAACGGAUAAAAGCUACCUCGGGGAUAACAGGCUGAUCUCCCCCAAGAGUCCACAUCGACGGGGAGGUUUGGCACCUCGAUGUCGGCUCGUCGCAUCCUGGGGCUGAAGCAGGUCCCAAGGGUUUGGCUGUUCGCCAAUUAAAGCGGCACGCGAGCUGGGUUCAGAACGUCGUGAGACAGUUCGGUCCCUAU